CAGCAGCCGCGGGAAUACGUAGGGUGCGAGCGUUAAUCGGAAUUACUGGGCGUAAAGCGUGCGCAGGCGGUUAUAUAAGACAGAUGUGAAAUCCCCGGGCUCAACCUGGGACCUGCAUUUGUGACUGUAUAGCUAGAGUACGGUAGAGGGGGAUGGAAUUCCGCGUGUAGCAGUGAAAUGCGUAGAUAUGCGGAGGAGCACCGAUGGCGAAGGCAAUCCCCUGGACCUGUACUGACGCUCAUGCACGAAAGCGUGGGGAGCAAGCAGGAUUAGAUACCCCCGUAGUCCCUGUCUCUUAUAC
rnacentral:rRNA from 1 species